CGGGGGGAGAAGCCCCAAAAGCGCGUCCGUUCCGGUAAGGAAAGAGUCAAUGGCUGCGGCUCGCCCCGCUCCGGCUCGCACACGCCACUUCCCCGAGCGGGGCUGACUCAUCCCGGGCUCGGUCCCGCUCCGCGACACCCGCGCUCUGCUCCGGCCGCCCCGGAGCCCGGCCCGAGCCUCCGCCGGUCCCGUCCCAAACCCAAAGGCAGCGAUUUCCCCCAAUGGAGAAGAACCGAGAGCCGCAAGGAGACCCCCGAGACCCCUCCAGCCCCGCCGACACGCCGGGGGCCGGGGAUGGCGCCGAGAGGGACAAGGAGGACAAGGACAAGGAGGACAAGGACAAGGAGAAGGAAGAGGAGGAGGCUUUCCUCGUCAGCCUCUACAAGUUCAUGAAGGAGCGGCACACGCCCAUCGAGAGGAUCCCGCACCUCGGCUUCAAGCAGAUUAACCUCUGGAAGAUCUACAAGGCCGUGGAAAAGCUGGGAGCCUAUGAGCUGGUGACGGGCCGCCGGCUCUGGAAGAACGUCUACGACGAGCUCGGGGGCAGCCCCGGCAGCACCAGCGCGGCCACCUGCACCCGGCGCCACUACGAGAGGCUCGUCCUUCCCUACGUGCGGCACCUCAAGGGCGAGGAGGACAAACCGCUGCCCCCCAGCAAACCCCGCAGGCAGUACAAGGUCAACAAGGACGACAAGAGCAAGAGGGCCAGGAAGGAGAAGGGCCGCGAGCAGGUGGCUCCGGACAAGGCGCGGCCGGAGGCGGGCACGGAGGACGCGGCGGAGCGGGGCCGGGGGACAGACGGACGCUCCAGCCCGGCCAUCCCGGCCCCCAGCCCCUCGGGGAGGUGUCCCAGCCCCUGCAGGAGCCACAGCGAGACCUACAAGCGCCUCUUCUCCAGCUUCUACUCCAAAGGGAACCACCCCAUCAUGUCCCCGCUGGCCAAGAAGAAGCUGCUGGCGCAGGUGAGCAAGGCCGAGUCCUUGCCCUGCCACAAGCGCCACUGCCCCGAGGGCCGGCGGGCACCGAGCGACACCGGCCCCGAGCCGCCCGGGCUCCCCGGCGCUGGGCCGGCUGAGCAGAGGAGCCCGGAGCCGUCGGGAGCUCCGGACAGAGCUCCGAGCGUGGCGAGCGAGGCGGGCCCGGCCCGCAGCGCAUCCCCGGCGGGCAGAGACAGCCAGGGCUGCCCGCAGGACGGGGGCGCGGCCCCCGCCGUCUUCACCGGCUACUUCCACGCCUACCGCAGCGAGGGCCCGCAGCCCGGCGGUUGUCCCCCGCUCUGGGGGUACUUCUCCAACCUGAAGGAUUUUUUGGAGCCGCCCUCCGCCUUCCCGGCGCGGCCCGAGGAGCCCGAGCAGCCCCCGGAGCUGCGGAGCCACGCGGGGAGGCCGUGGGAGGGCCGGGCCGCCGCUGUCCAGGCCUGCUGGGUGCCCCCCGGGGCCACCUUCGGCCCCGCCGCGCCCCGGGCCGGCCGCGGCCGCCACGAGGAGGAGGAGGAGGAGGAAGAGGAAGAUGAUGAUGAUGAGGAGGACGAGGAGCCCUUCGGCCUCGCUGCCAAGUCACGCGCCGUGUCCCCCUUGGCCAAGGAAGGCAGGGACAUGCGGAGCCGCUCGCCGGGGGGCCACCGAGGGCUGGCCAAACCCAAGGCCGUGGUGGCCACUCCGGGUUUCACCGCGCCGCUGCCGCCGGACGCUUUCAAGGGAGCCGCGCUGCACUUCCCGGCCGCCUUCGGGAGCCCCCUGGAGCACCUGAAAACCCAGGGCGUGCCGGUGGCCCCGGCGCUCUCCGUGAGCCCCUUGGUGAUCCCGGCCUUCCCCAGCCCUUUGGUGGUGGCCUCGGAGCUGUGCCGCCCGCUGGCCACCGGCGCCGGCCGCUUGCCCGCGUCCUACGGGAGCUCGCCGCGGCUGUACCCGGCGGCUCCGUGGCACGGCCAGCGCUCCCCGCACGUCCCGGCCUUCCCGCACCACGCCAGGCCCUAGCGCUGCCAUCGCUGGGGACAGCGAGGGGACAGUCCGGACUGGGCCGUUUUUAUUCCCCGUCUCAGAGCUGUUUGUGGCCGGCGGUGGCUCCGCUGCGGGCGCCCCAUGGUUAUCUCUAUUUUCUAUAUAUCCACACACAAAUCUAUAAAAAAAGGGAGCAAAAGCCGUGCCGCAGGUUUCUGUUCGUGCCCGGGCACUGGUGGGGAUGGUUGAUCCCAUCCCUGGGCCCCCCACACCCGAAUUUGGAGUUUGGGUCGCUCCAUCCAGAGGUGGAAAGGGGAUAAACCUGCCUGGCUGGUCCCGAGCUGGCAGAGCUUGGGGUGUCCUUGAUUUCGGGGAUCAGGGGUUUGGGGGUUCCUCUCCCUAAACGCAGAGCCGCAGGGCUGAGAACUCAUCCCGUGGGGAGGGAAGGAGGAGCUUUUCCCCCUCAGUUUUGGGGGAACCGCAACAAUUCCAGGGAGCAGCCACGAGUCAGGUGGGAACGGCCCAGCAACAGCUCCAGGUCCUUUGUGCCUCCCAAGUCCUCUUUGCCUCCAGGUGAUUUUUGCCUCCGGGUCCCUUUUGCUUCCAGGUCCUUUUUGCCUUCAGAAUCCUUUUUUUGCCCCCAGAAUCCUUUUUGCCUCCAGAAUACUUUUUUGUCCCCAGGGCUUUUUUGCUUCCAGAAUCCUUUUUUGCCUCCAGAAUCCUUUUUUGCCUCCAGAUUACUUUUUUGCUGCCAGGUCCUUUUUGCCCCCAGGUCCUUUUUUGCCCCCAGCAGCUGCACCUGAGCCGUUCCAGUCCAUCCCAAGGCUCUGUGGGAGCUCCAGGCCUGGCUCCCCCCAGGGCAGCUGGGACAGGGCACAGCGAUGGUGGCACUUCCUUGUCCCCAGGAUUGUGACAGCUUCGGGGGGAGCAGGAGCUGUGAGUCAGCGUGGAAAGACCACGGAAUCCAUGGAAAGGCCAAGUUUGGGGACAGGAAUUGGGAACAAGCUGGAAUAGGCUGGAUUUUGGGAAAGGUUCUUCCCUCAGAGGGUGCUGGGCACUGCCCAGAGAAUGGGCACGGCCCUGAGGCUGCCCGAGCUCAGAUUUUGGGGUGUCUGUGCAGGGCCAGGGGCUGGAUUGAUGAUCCCAGUGGGUCCCUUGCCACUCAGGAGAUUCCAGGAUUCUCUGAUGAUUUCAGGGUGGAUCCUUCCCUGCUCUGUCCCUCCAUCCCUUCACCACUCACAAAAUCCACCCUCAACAAAAGCCAGCCCCAGCAUGGCCAUGGCCACAAACUCAGUCCAAAAG